GAGACCUUACCGCAUAUACAAUAACAGCACCAUUAAAUCCCAAAUUCCAAAUGCAUAUCAGAUUGAAAUAAAAUUAAAAAAAAAAAAAGUCUCCUCUACUACCUUUGGCCUGAACCUCCACCACGACACACCGACACACGCCACCACACAAGUCACUGGGGAGCUCGUAAACAUGCUAGAGCUACCGCGAGCAAGGUGUCGUGAUCCCAAGGUACCAAACCAGAAGAAACCAUGGUAGUAGAGGGGGCAACUUGACUCAGCUUGAUAAAGUGGGUGCAAGAUUAGUAGUAAGAAAGAUGGCCAACAAACAUCUUAAUGCUUGUACAUAGAUCAUGAUCCCUAGUUUGUUGUCAUUGCUGAUAAACUAGUAGAUGCUUCUUUGGUUGGUUAUGGAGCCAGUAUCAUAGCUUAUAUGCCUCCAAGUAUGAGAGCCACUGUAGUGGAUGAGAUAUAAGGCCAAUGCAAAAAUAAUCUCAUAUGCCAUUUGCAAAGAGAAUUAUAGCUUUUCUGGAGGCUAGCAAGGGGAAAUUUGAUUUUGUUAUUUUGUCAAAUUUUAGUUUGUAUGGUACAGGAGUAUUAGUUGGCUUGUAGUAUUCGAAAAUUCAUGACCUAUCUAGGAAUUUAAAAAAGUAUCCAUGUAAUUUUGAUUCUAUAAAAAAAUUGUUAAAAUUUCUUUUAUUUUGCUUAUUUAACUAAAAGGUCUUUUAGUUAUCCCAUUUGAAAAUUGUUUCAAGAA